rnacentral:rRNA from 1 species
CCUACGGGAGGCAGCAGUCGAGAAUCAUUCACAAUGGGGGAAACCCUGAUGGUGCGACGCCGCGUGGGGGAAUGAAGGUCUUCGGAUUGUAAACCCCUGUCAUGUGGGAGCAAAUUAAAACGAAAGUACCACAAGAGGAAGAGACGGCUAACUCUGUGCCAGCAGCCGCGGUAAUACAGAGGUCUCAAGCGUUGUUCGGAAUCACUGGGCGUAAAGCGUGCGUAGGCUGUUUCGUAAGUCGUGUGUGAAAGGCGCGGGCUCAACCCGCGGACGGCACAUGAUACUGCGAGACUAGAGUAAGGGAGGGGGAACCGGAAUUCUCGGUGUAGCAGUGAAAUGCGUAGAUAUCGAGAGGAACACUCGUGGCGAAGGCGGGUUCCUGGACAGUAACUGACGCUGAGGCACGAAGGCCAGGGGAGCGAAAGGGAUUAGAUACCCUGGUAGUC